rnacentral:rRNA from 1 species
UACGAAGGGAGCUAGCGUUGCUCGGAAUUACUGGGCGUAAAGGGCGCGUAGGCGGCCACCGCAAGUCGGUUGUGAAAUCUCUGGGCUUAACCCAGAAAGGUCAAUCGAUACUGCGGGGCUAGAGUGCAGAAGGGGCAACUGGAAUUCUCGGUGUAGCGGUGAAAUGCGUAGAUAUCGAGAGGAACACCUGCGGCGAAGGCGGGUUGCUGGGCUGACACUGACGCUGACAGCGCGAAAGCUAGGGGAGCGAACGGG